rnacentral:rRNA from 1 species
GACGAACGCUGGCGGCGUGCUUAACACAUGCAAGUCGAGCGGACAGACGCUGCUCUUGUUCCGCGGACGUUAGGCGAGCACGGGAGAAUCACGCGUGUAAAACCUACCUAUCUGACUGGGAACACCUCGAGAAACGGGCGCAUACCCCAGAUGAGCUCUUGCUGCGCAGUGGGGGAUAGUGAAAUACGGCGGUUGGGGAUGGUCUCGAGGCUUAUCAGCCUCAUGGUGGGGUUGGGGCGUACAAGGGCUAUGAAGGGUAGCCUGCCUGAGAGGGUGACCGGCCACAUUGGGACUGAGAUACGGCCCAGACGCCUACGGGAGGCAGCAGUGGGGAAUAUUGCACAAUGGGCGGAAGCCUGAUGCAGCAACGCCGCGUGCGGGAUGACGGCCUUCGGGUUGUAAACCGCUUUCGCCUGUGACGAAGCGUGAGUGACGGUAAUGGGUAAAGAAGCACCGGCUAACUACGUG